UUGCUUUGACGUUCCCUGAGACAGACAUCCGGAUUUGGCGAUCUGGGAGAGAGCUAGAGCAGUGAUGGGAAUUUGGGCUUUCGCGGAAGAAAAAAAGUAACAGGACCGGGUAGAACACCCGGUAGAUAUGACAUGAGAUAUGACGGGAGGUGGGUCGGGAAAUCGAGAGCGUUCUCCUGUCUUGACUCCCCAUCCCUUCCCUCUCACCACCCACUCCACCCCAGGUGAUAAAGCCUGAAAGGUAGAGAUCCAACAGCGCUAGCGGUUGAAACGUUUUUUAAAAUAGAGAAAGCGAGAGGACCGACGGCGGCUCCGGUGACUGCUGAGUUUCCAGACAAGGGAGCUCUGUGCAAUGAGGGGCGCACAGGAGCAUGCCCUCAAUUCCAAGAAGAUCAGGCUCUGGGACUCAUUCCUUUUGAGGGUAAAAGUCUGCCUCCCUGGACUCCUGCCCCUCAGGCGCUCCCACAGCCCGGCACCGCCCCCUCGCCAUUCCGGAGCCAGCGCGGGCUAAGCGGGCCUGGCCGGGGAUGAGCGGAGCCACCGUCCCCAUAUUCCUCGGUGCCCCGGGACCGCAAGAGGGAGCCGUGGUUUCCGGAACUCCUCCCGCCCCUCCGGGCUUUUCCUCUGUUAGGCAGGUGGCGAUUCGCUGUCUUUGCCUGUUAUGGCCGCUGCCGUCGCCCUGGAGACAGGUAACCCUCUUCCAUGACUGUUCCUUAAAGUGGUGCGCUGUCCCAGUAGACCAUGCUCUAGCUUUCCAAGCUGCUAGAACUGUCAGUGUUUCUCAGCCUUGGCACUAUUGACAUUUUGGGACCAGUGAUUCUUCAUCGUUGGCAGAGGGGAGGGUGUUGACCUGUGCACUGUAGGAUGUCAGGUGGCAUCCCCGGACUCUACCCGCUAGGUGCCAGUAGCACCUAAUGUGCCACCCACCCCCUCCCAACAACUUUUCAACCAAACUAAAAUGUCUCUAGAGGUUGCCAUAUAUCCUCUGGGGGACAAAAUCACACUUAGUUGAGAACCACUGUCCCACAUUCUACACACAGAAGCCAAAAGGAUAUUUUUUAAAUGUAAAUGGCAUCAUGUCGUUCCCCUGUUGGAAACCCUUCAAUGUUUUCCUGUUGACCUUAGAAUAAUCUCAAAUUCCUUACUGUGGCUUAGAAGACCUUCUGUGGACUGGCCCCUGCUUGCUUUUAACUCCUCUCUUCCGUUCUGCUUCCAUGUCUAUAUAAUUGCUUCUCUCUCACUCCAGCCACACUGGCCUUCUUUCUGUUCCUUGAACAUUCAAAGCUGGUUCCCAUCCACCCUUUGUAUUUGCUGUUCUUCUGCCUAGAAUGCACCUGUUCCAGAUCACUGUUCAUUCACACAUAUCUCAGAUUACAUGUUAACUAAUCAGCAAGGCCUUCCCUGACCAUUUUAUCAAAAGAAGCCACUUACUUCCAUUCUCUAUCACAUUACCCAUGUAUUUCCUUCAUAGUGCUAAUCACAAUAGAAAAUUGUCUUGUUUCAUCAUUGCUUGUCUGCCUUUUCA
rnacentral:lncRNA from 10 species